ACGGAAGGCAGCAGUGGGGAAUAUUGCACAAUGGGGGAAACCCUGAUGCAGCAACGCCGCGUGAGUGGUGAAGUAUUUCGGUAUGUAAAACUCUAUCAGCAGGGAAGAAGAUGACGGUACCUGACUAAGAAGCACCGGCUAAAUACGUGCCAGCAGCCGCGGUAAUACGUAUGGUGCAAGCGUUAUCCGGAUUUACUGGGUGUAAAGGGAGCGCAGGCGGCCAUGCAAGCCAGAGGUGAAAACCCGGGGCUCAACCCCGUGAUUGCCUUUGGAACUGUUUGGCUUGAGUACUGGAGGGGCAGGCGGAAUUCCUGGUGUAGCGGUGAAAUGCGUAGAUAUCAGGAGGAACACCGGUGGCGAAGGCGGCCUGCUGGACUGUAACUGACGCUGAGGCUCGAAGGCGUGGGGAGCAAACAGGAUUAGAUACCCUGGUA
rnacentral:rRNA from 1 species